GUCCCUCUCAGCAGAGACCUUUAAUCCAACUGUAUCUCUGAAGAAAGCAAUGUUACAUUGUCCACUUAUUGAGUUAAUUACUCUCUUGUUUUUCAGUCUUUUUACACUUUUCUGGUGAUAUCAAAGGGCUUCUAAUGUGGCAAACAUUAACAACGUCAUAAUAUACUGAAGAUGGCAUACUUGGUAUGAUGGCCUUUCCUGUCUCAGGCUAACAGAAUAAUAUAGGAAGAGGGAUGGCAUGGCAAAGGUGAGGUUAGAGAACUGCUGUGCUCUAGAUUUUCUCAGCUACAAGGCUUUUAGCUGAAAGUGCACAGUAGAGCAGUUGUGAGGCUGCUGUAGUUGCUGGUGGAGAACAGAAAAUUUCCCAGCUAUCUUUAUUAUAGACAAAAUGCGAAGAUUUUUUGUUCCUUUUUUUGCAUCCUGCUUCUGUAGUGCAACUUUUGCCUGAUAUUUCUAGUGCUGAGCAUACAUGCUUACGAUGAAGCUCAGGGUGUGAAUCCAAGCAUCCAAAGACAUUUACUCUAAUCUGUGGUGGGAUUAAGAGCUACUGAGAAACUCCCCAUUGACUUUAUAUCCUUCUAUUUCUCUCUGAGAUGUUGUGUAGAAAGACAGUAACCACAGCUCAGUUCCCUGUUCUCUCAAGUCUCCUUAAUUCAGAUUUCACUCCUGUGAUAUCAAGUUGUUUCUCUUUUGGCUGCCUGGAUAGUAGUUGCUGGCCAUUAAUAUUCAUUGUCUACUCAACAGCUGCAUCAGUAUAAAUCAUUUUAUUUUUUCUAAUACUGGACUCCAUCUAAACUUUUUCACACAUUAAGGGAGGCUCAGAACAUAAUAGCCAAUCAGGAAAUAAAGAAACUGUAGUCUGAGAAAAAUAAGCUUUUCUUGAAUUAGUAUUUCUCUAUAGUGAUUUCUGAGUUAACACGGAAUUUAUUAGCAACUAAGAAGACAAUUAAAAGCAAUAGAUUUGAUGCUCUCCCUCUAGAAAAUUGUCAGAGACAUCUAUCACCUAUUUUUUUUACUGUUCUUUCAAAGUAUUGUUUGUGAAUUGGGGGAGAUUGUAACAAAAUACCUUGGUCAGGACCUGAUUCAGCAAAAUAACAAUUACCCUUGUGUGCCAGACCAUCUUUGGCUGCAGAAAUCAAUUUUUAUGGGCUCCAGAGCCUCAUGAAGGAUUAAGAAACAUGGAUCCCAUGGGUAGAGGCUCAUUUUUGUUGUUGUUAAAGCAGGCCCUUAGAGUGAAAGGGAUAUAACUUUAUUAAAUUAUAAAAAAGAAUUAUGAAGGAGAUAUAUUAAACCACAGACAAAGGAUGAUGAAAUGAUGACUUGGAGAGUAUGGAAGGAAGUAUAGCAUAGAGGAGAACAAUGAAUAUAUGGGUUUAAGCCUCUGAAAAUGAAUCAUGAUGCAUCAAUGUGGGCAUCGUUGGUUUUCAAAAUGACAGUGAAAAAAAUCCUAAAUUGGUAGGCUUGGGAAUUUUUCUGCUGGAGAAUAAUAAAAAUUAUUUUUUCCAUGCAGACUAUCUGGAAAAAAAAAAAAGAAAAAAAAAAAAAGGUAAUUUAACUAUGUAGUUCUGUUGUCAUACCACGUACUUACUCUGCAUUAAUACCUUGCAUCAGGUUUUGUGUCACAACCUCAAUGAAGUUACCUAUAGUCUGUGACAUUCCUUGUUCUUUUGCAUUAAAUAACUGUAUUGUAAUCUCCUCGGCUGCCCAACAUGGAGCUCAGGUUGAUGGGAAUUGGAGAAAAGCUUCACAGAAUAAAAAGUGACAGUCUGUAACAUACACAAGUUGCAAGCAACGUACAGUAAUAACAAAUAAAUGUUAACAAACAGAGUGAAAGAGAGAAAGAGAAAAAAGAGAGAGAAAAGGUGAAGAACAUGUAAAAGAAUUAAUAGAUUCCUAUAUAACAACUCAGUUUAGUUAUCCCAAUAUUCUAAGGCCAUUAUAAUGCAAAAAUGUUUGUUAGUUCUAGGUAUCUUUAUUAAGGUUUCUUGAUUUUUAAAUUACUGCAGUCUUUGAAAGUUACUAGGAAGCUCUUCUGAGUAGAUUUCACACUGAUGGACUUUACACUGGCACAAACAAGAGCAGAAUUUAGUACGCUACAUGUAUACGCAGAGGCCUUCCGACCCAACCUACCUCUUUAGCAUUUACUCACCACCUUGUUGACCUGGGUUCCUCCAGGAAGCCGUGUCCCCCAGGAAAGGCACUCCAGUGACAGUGGUGACCACCUCUCCCAGAACUAACUGACCAACAUAGUAACGUCACUCCCAGAGAGUAUCAAAUUUGAGAGGCACUACUUCUUGAAGUGAGGUGACAGUAUGUUGGCCGCCUACCUACUGGUAUGCUAGAGGAAAUAUGGGAGCUCUAAUUAAGUAGAUCCAGUGCAUUUUGCCAUUACAGAUAUUGGAUAUAAAAUAUUGGAUAUGUGCUUGAUGCAGUGCUGAGAACUGUUUCUCCUGGAAAUGCUGCAUUGCAAAGAGCUCUGGAAGAUCCCUUCUAGCUGUAUCCUGACCCUUCUGUGGAUUCACUUGCACUCAUCCUGGCCUUCCGAGAACCCCAUCAACAGCAAAUUCUGUGGUCCUUGACUUUCCAGGUACAGGUUGCAGGAAAAUGCAGUUGUGUGAGGCAUGCUACACUCUUAUAUUACCGCCCUGACUGAGGAAUACAGUAUGAUGAUCUGUACAGUAUGGAAGGUGUCUGAGUCAUGGAACAUGGAUGAAUACAGUGAACAAUGACAGUGGGAAUGGUGGAUUGUUUGUUAUUUCAGCUUUUUCCUUAUAAGCAGACAAGCAAAUAGCCAAUGGAGAAAAUGUCCAUUAGGUACAGAGUAAGAGAGAUAUAAGAUAGUGGGCUGGGCACAGCACUAUCAUAUCAUACCCUACACCCUUUUUUCCCCUGUUCUUUUGUAAUAAUGGAUAAAUCACCCCAUCUGUCUAGUGCUAUUGCAGCAGAGGUGCCUUUUGUUGUAUCUAUCCUACCAAUAUAAUUCACACUUAAUCCAGCAGGAGGGAGAGAUGCCAAGAGUACCUCCUUCAUAUUCCAGGAUUUCAUUUGGCAGUGGAUGGCAUGGAAGCUACGGUGGCAGGCACAUGUGUUUGAAAGGGCACUCGAGAAAGAUGGUUUACCACAUUUACAGCUGCCUCACACUGGAGGAUUGGCACUGGCUAGGCUUAUUUGACUGGAGUGUUUGUAUCUGUUUUCCCAUCACUAAAAGUGUCUUAUGUGCUCAUUAAAUUAUUAAGGCAUGAAAAAUCCGAAGAUUUAUUAUUUAGUUCUGUGAUUGUUUUUCAGCUCAGUGUAGUUUUGCCCGUCCACAGAAUUAUGUCUGACUGUGGCUGGGCCACUGGGGACUGUUUCAGAAGAUUCUUUUUUUUUUUUUUAUUUUUGGUUUUUCACAUAGUGCCAGAGAAACGUGUCUAAGUAUCUGCUGUAGGAAACGACAGCAAAAGGACAACAGUGCUGAAGGAAAUCCCCAGAUUCCUCUGCUGGCAGAGGGACAAAAGCCAGUUCAGAGCUACAAGGGGCAAUUUUUACCUUCUCAUUAAAUACUUGUACUGCUCUGGAGCUUUGUCCAAGCAUCCUCAGUAGGGACUUGGCUGUGGCUAUUGCACACUUUCAUUUAAUUCACUGGAUGGCAAAACUCUUCAGCCACUGUGGACUUGGCAUGCAUGUGGACCAAAAAAAAAAAAAAAAGGAAACCUGAAGUUUUGUGCUUGAGUUCAUUGCUCUUCCUUUUUGCUUUCAAUAGACAUGAUACAGAGACUGAUAUUCUUACUCAAAUCCUAGUGUAAACAAGCACUGUGGAACAAGUGACAGCCACUGAUUUUAUCUCUACAGGACAUGAUAAAUGAAUGAUUGUGCAACAAAAUAUUACAUUGUACUGGUUUUAAUUUCUGCUCUGUGUGUGAUCCACAGCAGUGAGAUUGCAGAAAUGCCGCUUGGCGAACAAGAAAAAGGUCCAAAUUGUUUUCACAUAUCUGUAGGCACUUAACUGAAGUUAAGUUAGAGCUGCAGUCACCUGAGAUCAGUUAUUGAGACAGACACCUCUGGAGAGCAAUUCAGGUCAUAAAUGAGUGAAUUACUCUCUGAGACUCCUAACUCUUCCUUCAACAUAUGGGGGGACCUCAGGCAAAUGCAUUUUAAUCUGGAAGAGAAGAGCAUUAUUACUUUUAUUUUGAGUUGUUAACACUUCUAUGUUAGACCCUGAGGACCAGCCUCCAUCUUCAGUAAUGUUAAGAUGUAAUCAUUGCCUCAUUUGCUAUUUGGAAUGAUGAAUUCUGAUGUUCUAAAGGCUAAAUAGAUUAAGUACAAGGAGGAAAGAAAAGCAUCUUCCUGCUAUCUUAUAUUCACUGCCUUUUUGUAUAUUUGGUGAGCAAUGUAUACAAACAUCAAAGCUGUCUGAGCUGAAACAGACCUAAACUCUUUUCAGUUAUACGGCUAUCUACUGUCCUUCCUACAGAGAGGGUCGAAGGUUUUAUGACACUAAAUCUAGCAGCCUUUUUUUUCCCUGGGGAUUGAAGGACCACCACAGUGGCUGCAUACCUAUGCUUCAACAAUGGUUUGCUAUCCAUAAAAAAAAAAACAAAACAAAACACUGAAGUUCACAGUCUACGGCUAUAUGUUAGGCAGCAUAAUAGGCCUGUGACAAGAUCCGCCAAGAGUCCCCAGCUCCCACUGAGCACUGACACUGGAAUUACAAUGCUCAGCACACUUCUGACGUUAGAACCAAUGUGUUGCACAGAAAAUACGGGUUAUUUAGGUUACAGUGACAGAAGGGAAGAAAAAGGAAACCCUGAGAAAAGAGCAGUGCCUUCAGAAGAUACGACUGAUGAAGUUGAAAUACUCCAUAUUAUUUCUUUUAAAAGAAAUCAGCUCUAUCUCAGUAAAUUGCAUUGAAAUGAUAAGUUAUAAUGUCACAGCUUGCUCUAGUUCAUCUGCCCAUGGGGUACAAUGAAGUCACUAUAACAGUGUUGUUCCCCUCAGUCAGGGGUAGGAUAGCCUUAACUAUUCAGACAGCAGGAUAGUUAUGGAGUGGGUUCUGGAAAAAGUUUGCAGGGCAGGGAAGUAAAACAACCACAGAAGUUUUUCCAAAGCUAAAGACUACAUUAGUAAGGACAGAUAUUUUUUACUUCAUCUUAGACUCCUGAGUUCUAAUAAUAUUUCUUCCAAGUUUUUCAGCUAUGCAAUAAAGCAGGAAAUUUUGCUAUCGGUACACUGUGAAAAAGUUGCCAAACGUGUCUGCACAACACAUAUGUAUAAAGAUACUCUUGGAGUACAGCUUAUGUGAAGCUGUGUGCAGAGUUGAUCAGAGAGAUGACAAGUUCUUAUUCUGGCCGUAUUAAAAUUAAUAUAGGCAUUUUGUGUGCAGAUGUUUUAAAUAUAUGUACAGGAAAAAUAAAAGGCUGGGAUUGGUUUCUUAACAAAACUCAAGUAACUUCCAUCUCUGCUUGUGUAUUACGGAUGCAUUUUUAAGACCAUUACUCUGUGGCACUAGAGAGUGCUGUAGACAUCAAAUGAAGUUAUAAUUCCAUUCAUAUUUUAAUGUCUUUUACAGUGUUGGAAAAUGACUUUCACUUCUUCAACUAUGUCACCUUUGAGAUGUAACCGUGCAGACAGCCUAUACUUCAGGGAAAUUCAUAAAAUUCUACCCUUUCCUACCUCUGAAUGAAAGACAGAGGAAGAUGACAUUUUGCCUGAACUACAUCUUCUUGAAGCAUCAGAACAUUUUCUAUAGAAGUGGCACCCUGACUUUCUGCUGUUCUAUUUUGGAGAACCAAGGGCUUUGCAAGACUAAAAUGGGAGAAGAAAACAUUCUGAUCAUACAUCUUCAUCUCCAAAGGAGAAAUGGUGGAGCCAUUAGUGCUGCAGUGCUUACAUAAAAACUGAAUAGAAAUUGCAUGUGCUCGUGGUUAUAAUCCUGUGCAGCCAAAUGAAGCUAAGGUCUGCCAGGGCUGCUGCUCCCAGGCAGAGGCAACUUGCUGGAAACACUGCUCUCUGGAAUGAGGCUUCACCAAGAGGACAGACCUGGGGCCAGCCGAGGUGAUUGUCCACCUUACUCCCAGUGCUCUUGAUGCAGCAUGGACUUCCAGGUAUUUGCUUAGUAGCGAGACAUGGGCACUAUGGACAGGAGGUGACAUCUACUACCUGAACGCAAGUUGAUGUAUACAGUGUAGUUGUGUGACACCAUCUAAUUUCUACUCCAAAAACUGACCACGAGUCCUCUGCAUUACAAUCUUUUGUCUCAGCUUUUGCUGCU